AGCUUUAAUAGUUUAAUAAAAAUAAUGGUCUUGUAAACCAUAGAUGAAACAAUUCUUAUAGCUU
rnacentral:tRNA from 1 species